UGGGGGAUAUUGCACAAUGGGGGAAACCCUGAUGCAGCGACGCCGCGUGGGUGAAGAAGUAUUUCGGUAUGUAAAGCCCUAUCAGCAGGGAAGAAAGAAGACGGUACCUGACUAAGAAGCCCCGGCUAACUACGUGCCAGCAGCCGCGGUAAUACGUAGGGGGCGAGCGUUAUCCGGAUUCACUGGGUGUAAAGGGAGCGUAGACGGCCGUGCAAGCCAGGAGUGAAAGCCCGGGGCCCAACCCCGGGACUGCUCUUGGAACUGUGCGGCUGGAGUGCGGGAGGGGCAGGCGGAAUUCCUGGU
rnacentral:rRNA from 1 species